UAGCAACCAGGUGAGACCAUGUAAAUAGGUUUGGAGCAAUGCAGCUUAGGCUAAUGUGUUACUUCAAGGAAACACCCAUAAGAGGUAUAAGACCAUGAUCACUAAAUGGAAAUAGGACGAGUGGAAAGGAAUCUUAACAGCAACAACAGAAUAGAAAAUGGAGUAUGGAUGGAUGCCUAAUCUCACUUCGCAUUCAAGAUUAAGCUAAUGAUCCAAAUGCAAUUAGUAACCAUUCUGUUUUCUUCUUCCUUUCUUGGAAUUAUAAGCAACGUGGAAUAGUAAGUGUUCAUGGCAACAAGUCUAGACUCAAUGAGUUAUGCAAUUAAGAUCUGAAAACCCCUGAAGAUUCAAGAAUUGAAAUGGUGGGAACAAGUGUCUAAAGGCUGGAAUUGGUCCCUAAUCAAUGUCAAUUCAUAAAUUCAAAUCAUGUCCAAAUACAGUUUUGAAAAUUGUAAUCUUUCCACAUGGUAAUCCAAUGUACAUAUUGACCAUUUAAUCCUGAUAAUCAAUGCUGUUAUGGUAACAACUGUUGAGUAAGCCAUAAUUACAGAAAUACAUUUUGGUCAAGACAUUAAACAUACAAAUGUAAGGAAUGCCUGGGUGUCAUAGCCAUUUAAGCGUCCAACUCUUGAUUUCAGCUCAGGUCAUGAUUUUGCAGUUUGUGACAUUGAGCCCCACAUCAGGCUCUGCGCUAACAGCAAGGAGCCUGCUUGAUAUUCUCUCUC